rnacentral:rRNA from 1 species
CCUACGGGAGGCAGCAGUGGGGAAUAUUGCACAAUGGGGGAAACCCUGAUGCAGCGACGUCGCGUGAGUGAAGCAGUAUCUCGGUAUGGAAAGCUCCAUCAGUAGGGAAGAAAAUGACGGUACAUGUCUAAGAAGCCCCGGAUAACUACGUGCAAGCAGCCGCGGGAACACGGAGGGGGCAAGCGUUAUCCGGAUUUACUGGGUUUAAAGGGAGCGUAGACGGGGCUGCAAGUACGGAGGGAAAGCCCAUGGCUUAACCAUGGUAUUGCUCUGGAAACUGUGGAGCUUGAGUGCGGUAGAGGCAGGCGGAAUUCCUAGUGUAGCGGUGAAAUGCGUAGAUAUUAGGAGGAACACCGACGGCGAAGGCGGCUUGCUGGACCGUAACUGACGUUGAGGCUCGAAAGCGUGGGGAGCAAACAGGAUUAGAUACCCCUGUAGUC